rnacentral:rRNA from 1 species
GACGAACGCUGGCGGCGUGCUUAACACAUGCAAGUCGAAUGGAAAGGCCCUGCUUUUGUGGGGUGCUCGAGUGGCGAACGGGUGAGUAACACGUGAGUAACCUGCCCUUGACUUUGGGAUAACUUCAGGAAACUGGGGCUAAUACCGGAUAGGAGCUCCUGCUGCAUGGUGGGGGUUGGAAAGUUUCGGCGGUUGGGGAUGGACUCGCGGCUUAUCAGCUUGUUGGUGGGGUAGUGGCUUACCAAGGCUUUGACGGGUAGCCGGCCUGAGAGGGUGACCGGCCACAUUGGGACUGAGAUACGGCCCAGACUCCUACGGGAGGCAGCAGUGGGGAAUAUUGCACAAUGGGCGGAAGCCUGAUGCAGCAACGCCGCGUGCGGGAUGACGGCCUUCGGGUUGUAAACCGCUUUCGCCUGCGACGAAGCGUGAGUGACGGUAAUGGGUAAAGAAGCACCGGCUAACUACGUG